AAUGAACGCUGGCGGCGUGCCUAAUACAUGCAAGUCGAGCGAAUAGAUUAAGAGCUUGCUCUUAUGAAGUUAGCGGCGGACGGGUGAGUAGCACGUGGGUAACCUGCCCAUAAGACUGGGAUAACUCCGGGAAACCGGGGCUAAUACCGGAUAACAUUUUGAACCGCAUGGUUCGAAAUUGAAAGGCGGCUUCGGCUGUCACUUAUGGAUGGACCCGCGUCGCAUUAGCUAGUUGGUGAGGUAACGGCUCACCAAGGCAACGAUGCGUAGCCGACCUGAGAGGGUGAUCGGCCACACUGGGACUGAGACACGGCCCAGACUCCUACGGGGGGCAGCAGUAGGGAAUCUUCCGCAAUGGACGAAAGUCUGACGGAGCAACGCCGCGUGAGUGAUGAAGGCUUUCGGGUCGUAAAACUCUGUUGUUAGGGAAGAACAAGUGCUAGUUGAAUAAGCUGGCACCUUGACGGUACCUAACCAGAAAGCCACGGCUAACUACGUGCCAGCCGCCGCAGUAA
rnacentral:rRNA from 1 species